rnacentral:lncRNA from 1 species
UUCUUCGAAUGCUAAAGCCAAUGCUUGCACCAUACUCAUUAUAAAGAUCAUAAGCUUCUUGCUCGUUGUACACAAUCUUCCCAUACAAAUUUUCAUCGGAAGAUUCUUCAAGAUUCCCAAACGUUGGAUUUUUUUCUUGAUCGUUGCUUUUGGUAUUUUCUUCAUCACUUCCGAGAUCAAUGACUACAUUAUUCAACGAAAGAAAUAAUUUUUGUGAGAUGAUAAUGAAUAACUAUAGGAAGAAAUAAUUUUCGUAGCAUAUAACACAAAAAUAAAUUUAAAAAAUCAAUAAAUUGAGUAGAUUAGAAGGUAAUAUAACAUAUCAAUGAUAAUAACUAUAGGAAGCAAUAAAAAGAAAGAAAAUAUUUAUCCAAACAACGCAGCACAAACCACUGAUCUGUGAUAUUUUUAUUCUACUGUGCAAAUAUGUUGUAAUAGUAAUUUAAAAUGUAAAGAAACACUUGUACCAUAAAAAAAAAAAUAAAAGAAAUUAAAAGACGAUGCUGGAGCAAAGCCAAUACAUGUGCAUAAGUUGAUGUUUGGGUGGAGGGGUGAGGGAACCCCAAUGUUCAAAUAACCUGGAGCAAAGCCAAUAUAAUAAUCCAAUGAAUCAAAACUCAUGAAACAGUAACUCAAAAGUAACCUAGAGCAAAGCCAAUUAAAAAAAUACAUGUUGAAAUCAAAAGUAACUCAAACCACAAUAUAAUAAUCCAAUGAAACCAAAACUCAUGAAACAGUCUUGAAAACUAAAAAAGUAAAGACAUGUGAGAGUAGGGAGCAAGUCAUCACCUUUUUCUUUGUCCAUGGAUAGAGUAGCUGAAAACGUACAACAUGUUGCUGUCCCUGACGGAAAAAGGGUUGUUGUCAGAGAAAAUUUGAUGUAAGAUUCCUCGAUCCGCCACUCAUUAUAGUAGGAGUAUGCCAUUUGUUUAUUGCCCCUGUAUUGCCAUUGUAUUGCCCUUUAUAACCUUUUGUUUAAGGCAUGUGGGCCAUGUGUCGGUGAUCUGUCUCAGACUCAGAAUUAUCCCCACAUCGUCUAGAGCACGAUGAUAUGCUAAGUUUGGUAAAAUUCUGUCGUUUGAUGCUUGUUGAAGCAAACCACACAUAACAUCGAGUUUUGUAGCAAUCUCAUUAUUAGUACUUACCUCAUAGGCACCAAACUUCUUAAAGCUCCUCUUCCCCUAUUGUAGCUCCAAAAAAGGCAAGUAAUCUCUCCUCAUUAAGGGUUUUCAUUAGGCAUUAACCUGUAGUGAUUAGUGAAUAGUAUUAUUGUCGAAUAUAGCAUCAACAAUGUUGUUAUGAUGAAGCGUUUUUUUUAUUUAUAAAAAAAACGCAAUUAAAACUAAAAUUUGCUCAACUAAACAAGUAAAACCACAAAUUUAAAACUAAACAUUUCAAUAGCACCUAACUUUUUUGGUUUCCUCCAACUAUUUUGAGGUGGAGUUGGUGGUGGUGGGUGAUGUGGAGGUGGAGUUAGUAGUGGUGGUGGUUGUGGUUGUGGUGCAGGUGGGGGUCGUGGUGGUACUGAUGGUAGUGGUGUUGGUGGUGGAGGUGGUGGCUGAUGGGUGAUAGUGGUUGUGGUGGUAGUAAUGGUAGCAGUGGUGGUAGUGGUGGUAGUAAUGGUAGCAGUAGUGGUAGUGGUAGAGGACUAGGAUGAGCAUAAUUAGUACUAGGAUAUCCAUUAAUAGCAUGACUAUUAAUAUGACGUGGUUCAAGAGCUCCAUUUUUGGUAUUGCAAUUUGCAUGUUGGCUUACUUGGCAACUCUAAAGUAUGUACCAUUGAAAGUAAUAUGUGCCCCUUCUGAUGUGGGCAAGUUCUUUAGCAGCUUCGUAUUUCACACUAUAUUCAAUGACGCUCCAACUAAUGAAAUACAAUAUUAGAUUAAAAGAUAAUGCAUGCUCAAUAAUCAUUUAUUUUUCCACUCUUCUCAUCAAUCUCCUUAUCAACAAGACAUAAACCUUUUUUUUAAAUCUGUAAUGUAACUGAAAACUAAAUCCUGAGUGAAAGAAUAGAAAACCCUAAUUAUCACCACCAAUCAACUUGAUAAGUAUUAAUAUGUGGAUGUUUACUCGAUGGGAUCUCGAGCCUCUCCAUUUAGUGAUGAUUCCUCAAUUGUUCUAAAAAUUUCCCGAUCUGGUAGCAUCAGUCUCAUCAAGUGAAAUUUUAAAAAAUAAAAAUAAAAAUAAAAAUAAAAAACCCUAGAUUCUCAAAUUAAAAUUAACAAGAGAGAGAGAGAGAGAGGCACCGACUCCAAAACCAUAUUCGGCUCAUGAACUCAACCCAAAAGCUAUACUUCUUAUUGUUGUUGUUGCAGCUGCACUCGUUGUUGCUGUGACUUGACACCUAGUUG